rnacentral:misc_RNA from 1 species
UGGUUCUGGCAUCGAUGAAGAACGCAGCGAAAUGCGAUAAGUAAUGUGAAUUGCAGAAUUCAGUGAAUCAUCGAAUCUUUGAACGCACAUUGCGCCCGUCAGUAUUCUGGCGGGCAUGCCUGUUCGAGCGUCAUUACGCCCCUCAAGUCCCCUGUGGACUUGGUGUUGGGGAUCGGCGAGGCUGGUUUUCCAGCACAGCCGUCCCUCAAAUCAAUUGGCGGUCUCGCCGUGGCCCUCCUCUGCGCAGUAGUAAAACACUCGCAACAGGAGCCCGGCGCGGUCCACUGCCGUAAAACCCCCCAACUUUUUAUAGUUGACCUCGAAUCAGGUAGGACUACCCGCUGA